AUAAAAGUCGUAACAAGGUUUCCGUAGGUGAACCUGCGGAAGGAUCAUUAUCGUACAAAAUGUGUAGAGGCCCGCCGGGGCUGUCGCCGACCGAAAAGUUGUGCACGCCACAGUGUGUCCUCUCACAUAACAAUCCAUCUCACCCUUUGUGCACCACCGCGUGGGCACCCUUUGGGAUCGUGCCGAUCUCAUGGGGGACUCGCGUUUAAAAAACCCCCCUUUUGAAAAAGUAUAGAAUGUCCUCAUUUAUGCAAUCAAUACAACUUUCAACAACGGAUCUCUUGGCUCUCGCAUCGAUGAAGAACGCAGCGAAAUGCGAUACGUAAUGUGAAUUGCAGAAUUCAGUGAAUCAUCGAAUCUUUGAACGCACCUUGCGCCCCUUGGUAUUCCGAGGGGCACACCCGUUUGAGUGUCGUGAAAAUAUCAACCUCCUUGGUUUCUUCUGGAGAUCAAAGGAGGCUUGGACUUUGGAGGCCUUUGCUGGCGUCUCUGCCAGCUCCUCUCGAAUGAAUUAGCAGGGUCCUCUUUGCCGAUCCUCGACACGUGAUAAGAUGUUUCCGUGUCUCGGUUUCUGGCUCUGUUGCUUUUGGGACCUGCUUCCAACCGUCUCGACAUCGAGACAAUGUUCGAGCCUGUUGCCCUUCUCGGGAAACGCCCUCGACCUCACGAACCCUUGGCCUCAAAUCGGGUGAGACUACCCGCUGAACUUAAGCUAU
rnacentral:rRNA from 1 species